rnacentral:rRNA from 1 species
GAUGAACGCUGGCGGCGUGCCUAAUACAUGCAAGUCGAGCGAACAGACGAGGAGCUUGCUCCUUUGACGUUAGCGGCGGACGGGUGAGUAACACGUGGGUAACCUACCUAUAAGACUGGGAUAACUUCGGGAAACCGGAGCUAAUACCGGAUAAUAUUUCGAACCGCAUGGUUCGAUAGUGAAAGAUGGCUUUGCUAUCACUUAUAGAUGGACCUGCGCCGUAUUAGCUAGUUGGUAAGGUAAUGGCUUACCAAGGCAACGAUACGUAGCCGACCUGAGAGGGUGAUCGGCCACACUGGAACUGAGACACGGUCCAGACUCCUACGGGAGGCAGCAGUAGGGAAUCUUCCGCAAUGGGCGAAAGCCUGACGGAGCAACGCCGCGUGAGUGAUGAAGGUCUUCGGAUCGUAAAACUCUGUUAUUAGGGAAGAACAAACGUGUAAGUAACUGUGCACGUCUUGACGGUACCUAAUCAGAAAGCCACGGCUAACUACGUGCCAGCAGCCGCGGUAAUACGUAGGUGGCAAGCGUUAUCCGGAAUUAUUGGGCGUAAAGCGCGCGUAGGCGGUUUUUUAAGUCUGAUGUGAAAGCCCACGGCUCAACCGUGGAGGGUCAUUGGAAACUGGAAAACUUGAGUGCAGAAGAGGAAAGUGGAAUUCCAUGUGUAGCGGUGAAAUGCGCAGAGAUAUGGAGGAACACCAGUGGCGAAGGCGACUUUCUGGUCUGUAACUGACGCUGAUGUGCGAAAGCGUGGGGAUCAAACAGGAUUAGAUACCCUGGUAGUCCACGCCGUAAACGAUGAGUGCUAAGUGUUAGGGGGUUUCCGCCCCUUAGUGCUGCAGCUAACGCAUUAAGCACUCCGCCUGGGGAGUACGACCGCAAGGUCGAAACUCAAAGGAAUUGACGGGGACCCGCACAAGCGGUGGAGCAUGUGGUUUAAUUCGAAGCAACGCGAAGAACCUUACCAAAUCUUGACACCCUUUGACCCUUCUAGAGAUAGAAGUUUCCCCUUCGGGGGACAAAGUGACAGGUGGUGCAUGGUUGUCGUCAGCUCGUGUCGUGAGAUGUUGGGUUAAGUCCCGCAACGAGCGCAACCCUUAAGCUUAGUUGCCAUCAUUAAGUUGGGCACUCUAAGUUGACUGCCGGUGACAAACCGGAGGAAGGUGGGGAUGACGUCAAAUCAUCAUGCCCCUUAUGAUUUGGGCUACACACGUGCUACAAUGGACAAUACAAAGGGCAGCGAAACCGCGAGGUCAAGCAAAUCCCAUAAAGUUGUUCUCAGUUCGGAUUGUAGUCUGCAACUCGACUACAUGAAGCUGGAAUCGCUAGUAAUCGUAGAUCAGCAUGCUACGGUGAAUACGUUCCCGGGUCU